GCUAAAUCUUAAUGAGUAGGAGGGCGUAUGGAUAAUUUAGAAGAUUGACAGUAAUGUUGAUUGGAAUUAUCUUUAGUGCAGAUCUUGGUGGUAGUAGCAAAUAUUCAAUAGAGAACAUUGAAGACUGAAGUGGAGAAAGGUUUCACAUGAACAACACUUGGAUGUGAGUUAGUCGAUCCUAAACGGUGGGUUAACUCCAAAUACACAGAUACUUGUAUCUUGUACCGUGAAAGGGAAACAGGUUAAUAUUCCUGUACUAUAUCAAGGAGGUAAAGUGGUAACACAAAUGAAUUCAAAUACAUCAGUAGAAUAACCAGGAAGAGUUCUCUUUUCUUUUUAACGACUUCUCCGCAAGGGGUGUAUAAUGACCAUGGAAUCAAUUUAGUUGGAGAAAUGGUUAAAGAGUCGGUAGAGUAGUUCAAUUUCUGAACUAUCUGGUUAGGUUCUAAUGGUACAUAAAAAAUUUAGAGGGAAUGAUCUUGCUUGAAUAGUCGUACUCAUAACCGCAGCAGGUCUCCAAGGUUAGAAGCCUCUA
rnacentral:rRNA from 1 species